UACGAAGGGGGCUAGCGUUGCUCGGAAUCACUGGGCGUAAAGGGUGCGUAGGCGGUGCUUUAAGUCAGGGGUGAAAUCCUGGAGCUCAACUCCAGAACUGCCUUUGAUACUGAAGAUCUUGAGUUCGGGAGAGGUGAGUGGAACUGCGAGUGUAGAGGUGAAAUUCGUAGAUAUUCGCAAGAGCACCAGUGGCGAAGGCGGCUCACUGGCCCGAUACUGACGCUGAGGCACGAAAGCGUGGGGAGCAAACAGG
rnacentral:rRNA from 1 species